AGCCCCCCUGAGACUGGUCAUGGCUCCUCAGAACAGCCAUGUCCUGCUAAUGAGGCUCGGCAGUCCACACUGAGCUGGAGCGAGGACCCGACCUGCCUGGUGCUGAAGAGCCUUUCCCUUCGCUCUGCAAGGAGCGAGGGCCCAGGCCAAACCAACCGUGGAUGAUUCCCCUCAAAUCCCACGCUCUCCCUCCAGCAAGAAGUGAUAUUGAUUCCGCAGACUCUGGGGAUGGCCUAGUUCACUGUCCCCACGGGACCUCAGGGGCCUUUGGCCUCUCCUCCUAGCCUUGGGGAGAUUAAUCACACAGAGAAGAGGUGAGAGCCUGGCUUCCAUUCCCUCUCUGCUGUCAUGGAAACCAGGGCACUAGCAACCUGGCAUGGAAACAAGAACAUGAUUUUCUUCUUUCACCAACCAGAGAAGAGGCUGUGACGACUUCAGGGCAGGAGGAGGAAGAGGCCUUACAGAUGAUUUGAUCUCAUUUUGUGAAGGAACAACGAUCCAGAAGAUGUCAACAGAAGGCGGGGAAAUGGGCUAGUCAAGGUAAAGUGCAUUUCUUCAAACAGCAAGAUGCAACCAGAAUCCAUGUGUCUCAAUUACCAAGAUUUCUCAGAACCACCCAGCACUGCUCUGGGCCCCACGUCAAAACCCUACCCUAAAUGCCCCUGAUGAUGGCCCUGAACCAUUGAUGAAUAGAUGGAAAUAGAACCUGAGAGCUGGAGGCUAUGACCGAUGCCGCAUUCCCUGGCCUGACCGGGGCCUUUUUUUCCUGGUUGAGGCAGCACUGCUGUGAACAGCAAGGACCAGCAGGAAUGCCUGCUCAGGGCUCAGAGAUCAGAACAGAGGCCUGUCCACUGACAAUUGUGUCAGUUGGGGCUUUCUAGACACAAGUCACAGUAGUUCUCUAAAUCUAACAUUAGGAAUAAAAGAGGACAUGUAAGGGUACAGAGUGUUUAAAAAAUCCCAGAGUAGGGACAUUCCAGGACACAGGAGGGACCUGAAUGAGCAGCAGAAGGCUCUCAGGAUGCCUGCUUCCUCUCCACGUCUGCCGCUCAGCCUGCUUCUCUCUCUGUAUGAGGGCUGUCCAGUUUAUGUGACAAACCAGAAGGUGGCUGCUCAAAAGUGUCCCUCUGACACAAAACCUUCUUAGUCCCAAUCUCAGAUUCCCAGGGAAGAGGUUCUGCUUGGCCCAUGUGGGGCUGGGAGCCCCCACCUUCACUGAACAAUCAUGGGGAACCUGCAUAUCAGAGGAGCGAUGGAGGAACUGUCUUCAGGAAUAAUGGAAUCAGUGUGCACUAAACUCAUAAAUCUCAUAAACUUGCCGUGACUGCGCUAUAUGCAUACUCCAAGAAUUGAGCAAUUUGACCAGGGAAGAACUUGGGGUCCAUCCUACACAGAAGCCAGUAAUGGGGAUGAGAGAGUUAAGUCAAACCCAUGAACUCUUGAAAAGCACCCAACUCCACUCGGUAGUCAUUGAAAUGGCCUCCAUAAAGCUCGAGGCAAAAUUAUAGAUCAUCAUUUUAAUUGAGUGCAAUUGGCUAUACAUUAAUAUUCAUGAUUAUUAGAGCAGCUAAUUUUCCUCUUUAUAGAAAGUGAGUGGGGGAUCGUUUCAGCUGCUACUUACUUUUCCUCCCUUAGGUUUCUGCGGGGGAGUGAAAGAAUAAAAGACACGGCACUUGAAAUCAGCCAUCAAUUCCUGAAUGUUGGAAAAAUAAAGAACCUUUCCACAAAAAUAUUAAGACGGAGGAAAAGAGUAACUUCAUGGCAAAGAAGCUUGGCCUUCGUCACAUGACCAGAGAGAACACACCAAUAUUGGGACACAUGGAAAUCACAUGCGACCCGGCAGGAUUCAAUGAGAAGGACACAACACUGCUCCUGAGCGAUUCCUACCAGAGACGCCCGAUCCAAAGCUAGACUUGGGGGAACAUCAGACAAACCCAAACUGAGGGACAUUCUACAGAAUGGUGGACCUGUCCCCUUCCAAAGAUUGGAGAAUGCUCCAGACUAAAGGAGAUUCAACAGACAGGACACGUACAGGCAAUGGGCAAUCCUGAACAGGGUCCUUCUGCUACCAAGAACAUUAUUGGGACAAACAGCAAUGGUGAAUGGGGUCUGAGGAUUAAAUGUUAGCAAAGCAUCAGGGUAAAUGUCCUGGUCCUAACAGUUUUAUUGUUAUUAUCUCAGAGCCUUCCUGUUUUAGGGAAAUAAAUUCUGCUAUAUUCAGGA